ensembl:lncRNA
CAGACAUGAACGCUUGCGCUGGCAUAGGAAGUAUUAUGAACAGCUGAUCGGAUUAGCAAAGCCUGUUUCUGCAAUUUUAUGUUUUUGUUGCUGCAAGUGCUUUUAAUGCAAUUUUUGCUAAACCAUAUGUGGAAGAUAACCGUGACCUAGGACAAGCUGAUGGCAUAAGAUCAGGCGAUCACUUUUUGGCACAACACCGGCAGUCAGAGGCAGCAGUUUGCUCACCUGGGUCCUCGGGGAAAAAGAAAAACCACCCGCCUGCCUGCCCUGCUAUGCGCUUCCGUCGGCUGCCUCGCUCAGAGGGAGGUUCUCCUCUCUGCUCCCCGACACACCGGACCAUUAUGGCCUAUCCCCGCAGCUACGCUCACUCCGGUUCGAAACACGCUGCCCUGUGCAAAACCUCCCAUAUACAUUUGAGGUAUUGAAUGACGUCCGGAGUGUUUGGAAUGCUCACCGUAUAAGGCCCUCAAAGAAUAACAAUAUGCCCUGUGGGAUACCUGAUGUCAUGCACAUGGCCCCUCACCUUUAGGGUGCAGAAGACGGUCUCGUUCCACUGACAGAAGAUUUGACCUUGUGUAAAAAUAGCUGCACUUUUGUUAGUUCAGUCCCAUGUGAUGUGCAAGUGUUUGAUUUGUGCACAAUAAUAAUGGAGGAAGCUUGGAAUUCCCAUCUACCAUGUCCCAGGCCCUUGAUUUAUAUUUUCAUCUCAGGGAUACAGUUCGUUCACAGUUAUUUGAGGCUACUUAAAUAGACACAAAC